UACGUAGGGACCAAGCGUUGUUCGGAUUUACUGGGCGUAAAGGGCGCGUAGGCGGCAAUUCAAGUCAUCUGUGAAAUCUCCGGGCUUAACCCGGAACGGUCAGGUGAUACUGUUUUGCUAGAGUGCGGAAGGGGCAAUCGGAAUUCUCGGUGUAGCGGUGAAAUGCGUAGAUAUCGAGAGGAACACCAGAGGUGAAGACGGGUUGCGGGGCCGACACUGACGCUGACAGCGCGAAAGCGUGGGGAGCGAACAGG
rnacentral:rRNA from 1 species